rnacentral:rRNA from 1 species
UACGUAGGGUGCAAGCGUUAAUCGGAAUUACUGGGCGUAAAGGGUGCGCAGGCGGCUAUAUAAGUCAGAUGUGAAAUACCUAAGCUUAACUUGGGGGGUGCAUUUGAUACUGUAUGGCUAGAGUUAGUCAGAGGGGGGUAGAAUUCCUGGUGUAGCAGUGAAAUGCGUAGAGAUCAGGAGGAAUACCAAUGGCGUAGGCAGCCCCCUGGGACAAAACUGACGCUCAUGUACGAAAGCGUGGGAAGCAAACAGG